rnacentral:rRNA from 1 species
GGAAUUUUUGACAAUGGGGGAAACCCUGCUCAAGCAACGCCGCGUGGAUGAUGAAGUAUCUCGGUACGUAAAAUCCUUUCGACAUGAAAGAAACCUACGGGUUGACGGUACCUGCAGAAGAAGCCCCGGCUACCUCCGUGCCAGCAGCCGCGGUAAUACGGGGGGGGCAAGCGUUGUUCGGAUUUACUGGGCGUAAAGGGCGCGUAGGCGGUUUGUUAAGUCGGAUGUGAAAACUCUUGGCUCAACCAAGAGCCUGCAUCCGAUACUGGCAGGCUAGAGUGCGAGAGGGGAAAGCGGAAUUCCUGGUGUAGCGGUGAAAUGCGUAGAUAUCAGGAGGAACACCGGCGGCGAAGGCGGCUUUCUGGAUCGCAACUGACGCUGAGGCGCGAAAGCUAGGGGAGCAAAC